GGCGGAAGUAUGCGAUAAGCGAGCGAAGACGCCUCCACCCUCUCUCCCGCCAGAAGUGACGUCAGUCACGUGGGAGGACAAUGGGGUUUCCUCCCAUAUUGGAUCACGAUGAAAACUGCACAGAAAGUCCGUGCUCAGUUUCUUCCAUGGUUACAGAACACAGGCCCCAGACCAGGAAGGCAUUCUGCUAAAGAAGGGGACCCGAAACCUCAGCUACCAGCGCCGAUGGUUCAUCCUCCGAGGAAACCUCCUCUUCUACCUAGAACACUAGACCGACCAUGCACCCCUGAGCCUCAUCCUGUUAGAGAACUGCCAGGUGGAACCACACCUUAAGGCUGCAGAACCCUAUGCCUUUACCAUCCUGACCCCUGGGGUGGAGGGCACAGGUGGGCGGGCCUACAAGCUGGCUGCAGAAACCCAGGAAGAGCUGGAGACUUGGCUGUGGGCACUGGCUGGCGCGAGCUGGAGGCGGCUGGCUGGGCUGCUGUCCCCCCUCCCCCCCCACCAAAACCCAAUACUGGGAGCUGUGCCAGGCAACUGGCCAAGAACCCAUCUCAUCCCCAGAGGACAGUGGCUUUCUAGCCACUGUGAGUACCCCCUCCAGCUUCCAGGAGUUGCAUGAGCACUUUGGGAAGGAGAUCCGGGUGCUGCACGUGGUACAUAGAGAGCUCCAGGCAGCCAGUGACAAUGGAGACAGCAGAUCCCAGGCAAAGAUGGAGCAGGAGCUCAACCAGUGUCUGAUGAGUGACUGAGAGAUGGACCCAAAGCUAAGAGGUACCUACUUGCCAAGACAGCAGACUGCUUCAACAGAGACCCAGGUCCUGGCUCUGUCCCUCCCUCCCUCGUCCUUACCCCAUCCCCCCCUCAUCAAAUAACAAGGCAGAAAACAGGCCCAGGUA
rnacentral:lncRNA from 1 species